GUUGGCCUACGGGGCGCAGCAGUAGGGAAUUUUCGUCAAUGGGCGCAAGCCUGAACGAGCAAUGCCGCGUGAACGAGGAAGGUCUUCGGAUCGUAAAGUUCUGUUGAAGGGGAAAAAGAGCGGAGAGAGGAAAUGAACUCCGAUUGAUAUUACCCUUCGAGGAAGUCACGGCUAACUACGUGCCAGCAGCCGCGGUAAUACGUUGGUGGCGAGCGUUAUCCGGCAUGAUUGGGCGUAAAGGGUGCGUAGGCGGCCUGCUCAGUCUGGAGUGAAAGGAACCGGCACAACCGGUACAGGCUCUGGAA
rnacentral:rRNA from 1 species